GACGAACGCUGGCGGCGUGCUUAACACAUGCAAGUCGAACGGAAAGGCCCUGCUUUUGUGGGGUGCUCGAGUGGCGAACGGGUGAGUAACACGUGAGUAACCUGCCCUUUACUUUGGGAUAACUUCAGGAAACUGGGGCUAAUACCGGCUAGGAGCUCCUGCUGCAUGGUGGGGUUUGGAAAGUUUCGGCGGUUGGGGAUGGACUCGCGGCUUAUCAGCUUGUUGGUGGGGUAGUGGCUUACCAAGGCUUUGACGGGUAGCCGGCCUGAGAGGGUGACCGGCCACAUUGGGACUGAGAUACGGCCCAGACUCCUACGGGAGGCAGCAGUGGGGAAUAUUGCACAAUGGGCGGAAGCCUGAUGCAGCAACGCCGCGUGCGGGAUGAAGGCCUUCGGGUUGUAAACCGCUUUCGCCUGUGACGAAGCGUGAGUGACGGUAAUGGGUAAAGAAGCACCGGCUAACUACGUG
rnacentral:rRNA from 1 species